GGCCCCAUAGCUUACCCUGGUGGAGCGCCAGUCUUAUAAGCUGGAGGUUCCGGGUUCAAAUCCCGGUGGGGCCA
rnacentral:tRNA from 1 species